rnacentral:rRNA from 1 species
UUGAACGCUGGCGGCAUGCUUUACACAUGCAAGUCGAACGGCAGCGCGGGGCAACCUGGCGGCGAGUGGCGAACGGGUGAGUAAUAUAUCGGAACGUACCCAAGAGUGGGGGAUAACGUAGCGAAAGUUACGCUAAUACCGCAUACGAUCUCAGGAUGAAAGCAGGGGACCGCAAGGCCUUGUGCUCCUGGAGCGGCCGAUAUCUGAUUAGCUAGUUGGUGAGGUAAAGGCUCACCAAGGCGACGAUCAGUAGCUGGUCUGAGAGGACGACCAGCCACACUGGAACUGAGACACGGUCCAGACUCCUACGGGAGGCAGCAGUGGGGAAUUUUGGACAAUGGGCGCAAGCCUGAUCCAGCAAUGCCGCGUGAGUGAAGAAGGCCUUCGGGUUGUAAAGCUCUUUUGUCAGGGAAGAAACGGUCGAGGCUAAUACCUUCGGCUAAUGACGGUACCUGAAGAAUAAGCACCGGCUAACUACGUGCCAGCAGCCGCGGUAAUACGUAGGGUGCAAGCGUUAAUCGGAAUUACUGGGCGUAAAGCGUGCGCAGGCGGUUUUGUAAGUCUGAUGUGAAAUCCCCGGGCUCAACCUGGGAAUUGCAUUGGAGACUGCAAGGCUAGAAUCUGGCAGAGGGGGGUAGAAUUCCACGUGUAGCAGUGAAAUGCGUAGAGAUGUGGAGGAACACCGAUGGCGAAGGCAGCCCCCUGGGUCAAGAUUGACGCUCAUGCACGAAAGCGUGGGGAGCAAACAGGAUUAGAUACCCUGGUAGUCCACGCCCUAAACGAUGUCUACUAGUUGUCGGGUUUUAAUUAACUUGGAACGCAGCUAACGCGUGAAGUAGACC